UUGAGCGAUUUACUUCGGUAAAGAGCGGCGGACGGGUGAGUAACGCGUGGGUAACCUACCCUGUACACACGGAUAACAUACCGAAAGGUAUGCUAAUACGGGAUAAUAUAUUUGAGAGGCAUCUCUUGAAUAUCAAAGGUGAGCCAGUACAGGAUGGACCCGCGUCUGAUUAGCUAGUUGGUAAGGUAACGGCUUACCAAGGCGACGAUCAGUAGCCGACCUGAGAGGGUGAUCGGCCACAUUGGAACUGAGACACGGUCCAAACUCCUACGGGAGGAAGCAGUGGGGAAUGUUGACAGAUGGGCGAAAGCCUGUUUACUCAACUCCGCGUGAGGGAUGAAGUCCUGCGGGUCGUAAAACUCUGUCCUCAAGGAAAAUAACUACGGUACUGGUGGAUGAAGCCCCGGAUAACUCCUCGCCAGCAGCCGCGGGAUGACGUAGGGUGGUAGCGUCAUCCCGAUUUACUGGGCGCAUAUGGGGCGUAGGCGGUCUUUCCAUCCUGGAGUGCUAGGCUACGGCCCAACCGUAGUAAGCUCUUGAAACUGGGCGACUUGAGUGCAGGAGAG
rnacentral:rRNA from 1 species